CCCUUCACUCUGGGACAAGCCCUGGAAACGGGGUCUAAUACCGGAUACGACCUGCCAAGGCAUCUUGGUGGGUGGAAAGCUCCGGCGGUGAAGGAUGAGCCCGCGGCCUAUCAGCUUGUUGGUGAGGUAACGGCUCACCAAGGCGACGACGGGUAGCCGGCCUGAGAGGGCGACCGGCCACACUGGGACUGAGACACGGCCCAGACUCCUACGGGAGGCAGCAGUGGGGAAUAUUGCACAAUGGGCGAAAGCCUGAUGCAGCGACGCCGCGUGAGGGAUGACGGCCUUCGGGUUGUAAACCUCUUUCAGCAGGGAAGAAGCGAAAGUGACGGUACCUGCAGAAGAAGCGCCGGCUAACUACGUGCCAGCAGCCGCGGUAAUACGUAGGGCGCAAGCGUUGUCCGGAAUUAUUGGGCGUAAAGAGCUCGUAGGCGGCUUGUCACGUCGGUUGUGAAAGCCCGGGGCUUAACCCCGGGUCUGCAGUCGAUACGGGCAGGCUAGAGUUCGGUAGGGGAGAUCGGAAUUCCUGGUGUAGCGGUGAAAUGCGCAGAUAUCAGGAGGAACACCGGUGGCGAAGGCGGAUCUCUGGGCCGAUACUGACGCUGAGGAGCGAAAGCGUGGGGAGCGAACAGGAUUAGAUACCCUGGUAGUCCACGCCGUAAACGGUGGGCACUAGGUGUGGGCAACAUUCCACGUUGUCCGUGCCGCAGCUAACGCAUUAAGUGCCCCGCCUGGGGAGUACGGCCGCAAGGCUAAAACUCAAAGGAAU
rnacentral:rRNA from 1 species